CUGCAUUUGGUUUCGUUGAAAUUUGGAGCUGACAGAAGCUGAAACAAAGCAGAAAUAACUCAAGCCAUUCUGCAUGAAAUGCACGGACAUCUGCUCUCCUUUACAGCAGACUUCAGGUCUGAGCACAAAGCCACUCGUGCUGUGACAGUUGGACGCUGGCAGACGCAGUACUGACUGCUCACUGCAAAUGAAGAGGAACGCAGCAAGCAUCCUCAGGGCAUUAAAGCAAAUAUAAAAGAAGUCCAAAAUCGGCUUUUGCACCACGCGGGCUCACACCCAGCACUGCUGUGCCCUGAAGAUGUUGCACAGUGCCUUGAGGAUGCUGCCCACCCCCUGUGGUUCUCUGCUGCUCUCCAUUGCAUUCCUAAGGAGCAGGCAGGAACAAGCACUUAAAAAUGCAC